GCUUUCCGUUCCAGAUCCUUCUAGAUCUCUUUCCUCUACUUGCAUAUAUAAUAUACAAUUGCUAAGGCCUAAAAGACAAAUUGCUCAUUCAUCAUCUUCAAAUCUCUUCUUCUGUGAUGAUGGUGCAAAGCUUAUGGGUUACGAGCUAAAUCAACUGCACUAGUCAAGCUUCAUUUGAUAAUAUAUACAUCACAUAUAGUUCCCUUGCAAUUUUCAGCUUCUCUUAACCGUUGAUUUUUGCUCUCUCUGUUGGCGUUGUCGAUUCAACGAACACUUAAAACUUGUGAUCUUUUAUGAUUGAGAAGUAUAUAAAAUUGGAUCCAGGUGUAUUCUCUCAUAUUUUCUGAAAAACAAUAGCAAGAUGGAAGGACUUGGAUUGGUAGCUCUUAGAAAGAGUUGUGUCAUUCUUCAAGGAUCACAAAGGUUCGAUAGAGUUAAUAAAUUAUUUUUGUUAUUAAUUAUUGCUAUGCUAUGUAAUUUUUAUAUCUAUUUGUCACGGUUGUUGCCUUUUUAGGGGGCUAUUGGUUUGAGUUAAAUAACAAUCAUCAUGUUAAUAAAAAAAAUUCUUUCGAAAUUA